CCUACAGACCGUACAUGGACAGACGAGGACACGAGGGCCUUAAUCCCGUGGCGGUCGCUGCACAAAUCCCUCUUCACGGGGAAGAGGAACGCCUCCGUGACUGGAUUUGAGGUCUUCAUAAAGGAGAGCGGGCUUGGGAGGUUGGAUCCCAAGCUCGUGAAAAAGAGGUGGGAGAACCUCAUCCACAAAUA